UCUCUAGGUUUUCUCUCUCUUCGAGUAGAAAUUGUUGAUUUGCGCCUAUUUCUCGCCGUUCGUCGCGCUAGCUGGUUUGUGGACUUUGGAGCAGCUACGAGUGGGUGGAAAGGACUCGCAUGAGAGCUGGUUUGAGAUAGUUUAAAGCACCAAUUGAGGAGUGGUUUUGCUGUAUUUCUUCACCCCAAAGUCAGAGUUAAAGCCUUCGAGGUUUCCAAAUUAAUUUGAGCUGAAUUUGUGACCUUGGGGACUGGUUUCGAAGGUGUUUCAACCUGGGCGAGGCUGCGAUUGACUUUCAGAUUAUCUUUGGCUGAUAUGUGAGGGCAAUUAGAGGCUUAACUUGAGCAGAGUGGGGCACCGUUGAGUUGAGUUUCAGGACUUCUUGUGG